AACGAACGCUGGCGGCAGGCCUAACACAUGCAAGUCGAGCGAGGACUUCGGUUCUAGCGGCGGACGGGUGAGUAACGCGUGGGAAUGUGCCCUUCUCUACGGAAUAGCUCUGGGAAACUGGGAGUAAUACCGUAUACGCCCUAUUGGGGAAAGAUUUAUCGGAGAAGGAUCAGCCCGCGUUGGAUUAGGUAGUUGGUGGGGUAAUGGCCUACCAAGCCGACGAUCCAUAGCUGGUUUGAGAGGAUGAUCAGCCACACUGGGACUGAGACACGGCCCAGACUCCUACGGGAGGCAGCAGUGGGGAAUCUUAGACAAUGGGGGCAACCCUGAUCUAGCCAUGCCGCGUGAGUGAUGAAGGCCUUAGGGUUGUAAAGCUCUUUCAGCUGGGAAGAUAAUGACGGUACCAGCAGAAGAAGCCCCGGCUAACUCCGU
rnacentral:rRNA from 1 species